rnacentral:misc_RNA from 1 species
GAUGAAGAACGUAGCGAAAUGCGAUAAGUAAUGUGAAUUGCAGAAUUCAGUGAAUCAUCGAAUCUUUGAACGCACAUUGCGCCCGCCAGUAUUCUGGCGGGCAUGCCUGUUCGAGCGUCAUUUCAACCAUCAAGCCCCGGGCUUGUGUUGGGGACCUGCGGCUGCCGCAGGCCCUGAAAUGCAGUGGCGGGCUCGCUGUCACUCCGAGCGUAGUAGUUACAUCUCGCUCUGGGCGUGCUGCGGGUUCCGGCCGUUAAAAGCCUUAUUUACCCAAGGUUGACCUCGGAUCAGGUAGGAAGACCCGCUGAACUUAAGUAUAUCAAUAAGCGGAGGA